GGAGGGAGUGUGUGUUUGUGCUGGGGGUGCUGGGGGGGGCUGUUGGAUAGUGCCUGGAGGGAGGAUGUGGAGAGCUGCCAGGUGCCAGCCAACAAGUUCCCCCAGCCUGCCCACCGCUGGGAGACUCUCGAGCUACGUGGGUGCCCCCCGUUCCCCUUCCAUUCCCUGCAAUUCCCUUCUGUGGAAGCAUGUGGCAGCACGUAAUGAAAACGUGUCUGUGUGUGAUUCCAGGCGUUCCUGCAGGCAGUGGCCUUGCAGCUCCUCAGCUGCAUCCCGUUUUUGAGCCUCAGGGGCAUGCCAGUGAUGUGGCCGUAGAUGGUGGCUAUGCAGCUUCCCAGCCUGAUGCCAGUUUUGAGUCUCUGGGGAAUGCCACAGGUUUUGGUGGUGAGAAAGAGGCAAAGGCCGCACAUCAUAAAGACCUAGAAAAGCACCGCUUGAUCUUCACUGCCGCGGUGUCGGCUUUCGUAUUGCUUGGGGUAGCAUUGAGUUGUGUGUCUACUUCGCUGCUGAGGAGGAGAAAACAAAAACGGGCACUAGCUAAUACUGCGGCUGCCUCCAACCCCGAAGAGCCACGACCAGAGGAAGGCAGAGGAAAAUCAGGGAGAGAAAGGACAAAGGAGGAGCUGGCCAUAAAAAAUGAAAAUCUCAACAACAGCUGGAGUCCGCUUGCGGUGAACUUUGCAACACAGCUUGCCCAGUUAUCUAAGGGCAGGAAUGCCAAUGGUUCUUGCGGUGAACUUUGCAGCACAGCUUGCCCAGUUAUCUAA
rnacentral:lncRNA from 1 species